rnacentral:misc_RNA from 1 species
UCCGAGUUGUCCCCGGCAGUCUCCUUAGAGUCCCCGCCAUUACGCGCUGGCAACAUGGAACGAGGGUUGCGCUCGUUGCGGGACUUAACCCAACAUCUCACGACACGAGCUGACGACAACCAUGCACCACCUGUGAACCGGCCCCAAAGGGGAAGGACUGUUUCCAGCCCGGUCCGGCCCAUGUCAAGCCUUGGUAAGGUUCUGCGCGUUGCUUCGAGUUAAACCACAUGCUCCACCGCUUGUGCAGGCCCCCGUCAAUUUCUUUGAGUUUUAAUCUUGCGACCGUACUCCCCAGGCGGUCGACUUCACGCGUUAGCUGCGGUACUAAGGAAGUCUCCUUCCCCAACACCUAGUCGACAUCGUUUAGGGCGUGGACUAC